UACGUAGGGGGCAAGCGUUGUCCGGAAUCAUUGGGCGUAAAGAGCGCGUAGGCGGCCAGAUAAGUCCGGUGUGAAAGUCACAGGCUCAACCUGUGAAUGCCGCUGGAAACUGUCUGGCUAGAGUCCGGGAGGGGCGAGUGGAAUUCCUGGUGUAGCGGUGAAAUGCGCAGAUAUCAGGAAGAACACCCGUGGCGAAAGCGGCUCUCUGGAACGGUACUGACGCUGAGACGCGAAAGCGUGGGGAGCGAACAGG
rnacentral:rRNA from 1 species